rnacentral:lncRNA from 1 species
GCCUUGGCUUAAGUUAUAUUGAAGAAAAAAAAUUCAAUUAUUCUCUUGAUUAAAAUGAGAAAAGAUCACAAAUAAGCAGAAACUAAACUAACUUUUUCCACACCAAUAUUGGUACUUUACCUUGGGUUGAGAAAACGUACCGCUUUUAUCGAUUUGAUCAUUAUUUAUUCUGGUUUAGAGUUUAUUCUAAUAAUUAUAAUGUCAUUGAAUUACGUCGUCUUUUUUUCA